AGGGUUUGAUCCUGGCUCAGAUUGAACGCUGGCGGCAUGCCUAACACAUGCAAGUCGAACGGCAGCAUGACCUAGCUUGCUAGGUUGAUGGCGAGUGGCGAACGGGUGAGUAACGCGUAGGGAUCUGCCCUAAAGUGGGGAACAACUCGAGGAAACUCGAGCUAAUACCGCAUAAGCUCUUAGGAGUAAAGCUGGGGACCUUCGGGCCUGGCGCUUUAGGAUGAACCUGCGUCCGAUUAGCUAGUUGGUAAGGUAAAGGCUUACCAAGGCGACGAUCGGUAGCUGUUCUGAGAGGAAGAUCAGCCACACUGGGACUGAGAUACGGCCCAGACUCCUACGGGAGGCAGCAGUGGGGAAUAUUGGACAAUGGGGGAAACCCUGAUCCAGCAAUGCCGCGUGUGUGAAGAAGGCCUGCGGGUUGUAAAGCACUUUCAGUGGGGAGGAGAGGUUUAGUGUUAAUAGCACUAAACUGAGACGUUACCCACAAAAGCAGCACCGGCUAACUCUGUGCCAGCAGCCGCGGUAAUACAGAGGGUGCGAGCGUUAAUCGGAAUUACUGGGCGUAAAGAGCACGUAGGUGGUUUAUCAAGUUGGCUGUGAAAUACCUGGGCUUAACCUGGGUCUGUCAGUCAAUACUGGUAAACUAGAGGCCAAGAGAGGGUAGUGGAAUUUCCGGUGUAGCGGUGAAAUGCAUAGAUAUCGGAAGGAACACCAGUGGCGAAGGCGGCUACCUGGCAUAACACUGACGCUGAGGUACGAAAGCGUGGGGAACCAAACAGGAUUAGAUACCCUGGUAGUCCACGCUGUAAACGAUGACAACUAGCUGUUGGAUCCUUAGAGGUUUUAGUGGCGCAGCUAACGCAAUAAGUAGACCGCCUGGGGAGUACGACCGCAAGGUUAAAACUCAAAGGAAUUGACGGGGGCCCGCACAAGCGGUGGAGCAUGUGGUUUAAUUCGACGCAACGCGAAGAACCUUACCUACCCUUGACAUCCUCGGAAUCCGCUAGAGAUAGUGGAGUGCCUUCGGGAACCGAGUGACAGGUGCUGCAUGGCUGUCGUCAGCUCGUGUCGUGAGAUGUUGGGUUAAGUCCCGUAACGAGCGCAACCCUUGUCCCUAGUUGCCUCAGGUAAAGCUGGGAACUCUAAUGAGACUGCCGGUGACAAGCCGGAGGAAGGUGGGGAUGACGUCAAGUCCUCAUGGCCCUUAUGGGUAGGGCUACACACGUGCUACAAUGGGCAGUACAAAGAGAAGCGAAGCCGCGAGGUGGAGCUAAUCCCAGAAAGCCGGUCGUAGUCCGGAUUGGAGUCUGCAACUCGACCCCAUGAAGUCGGAAUCGCUAGUAAUCGCGAAUCAGCAUGUCGCGGUGAAUACGUUCCCGGGCCUUGUACACACCGCCCGUCACACCAUGGGAGUGGAUUGCACCAGAAGUAGGUUGCCUAACCUUCGGGAGGGCGCUUACCACGGUGUGCUUCAUGACUGGGGUGAAGUCGGAACAAGGUAGCCG
rnacentral:rRNA from 1 species